UUGACCUCAAAUCGGGUGAGACUACCCGCUGAACUUAAGCAUAUCAAUAAGCGGAGGAAAAGAAACUAACAAGGAUUCCCCUAGUAACUGCGAGUGAAGCGGGAAAAGCUCAAAUUUAAAAUCUGAUGGUCUUUGGCCGUCCGAGUUGUAAUUUAGAGAAGCGUCUUCCGCGCUGGACCGUGCACAAGUCUCCUGGAAUGGAGCAUCAUAGAGGGUGAGAAUCCCGUCUUUGGCACGGACACACCAGGGCUUUUGUGAUGGGCUCUCGAAGAGUCGAGUUGUUUGGGAAUGCAGCUCAAAAUGGGUGGUGAACUCCAUCUAAAGCUAAAUAUUGGCGAGAGACCGAUAGCGAACAAGUACCGUGAGGGAAAGAUGAAAAGCACUUUGGAAAGAGAGUGAAACAGUACGUGAAAUUGCUGAAAGGGAAACGCUUGAAGUCAGUCGCGUCGACCGAGACUCAGCCUUGCCUUGGCUUGGUGUACUUCUCGGCUGACGGGUCAGCAUCAAUUUUGCCCCUUGGAUAAUGGCGAGGGAAAUGUGACACCUUUGCGGUGUGUUAUAGUCUCUUGUCGCAUGCAAGGGUUGGGAUUGAGGAACUCAGCACGCGCCUUUGGGCGUCGGGGCUUUGCCCACGAUACGUGCUUAGGAUGUGGCGUA
rnacentral:rRNA from 1 species